rnacentral:rRNA from 1 species
GGGCGUUAAGUUGCAGGGUAUAGACCCGAAACCCGGUGAUCUAGCCAUGGGCAGGUUGAAGGUUGGGUAACACUAACUGGAGGACCGAACCGACUAAUGUUGAAAAAUUAGCGGAUGACCUGUGGCUGGGGGUGAAAGGCCAAUCAAACCGGGAGAUAGCUGGUUCUCCCCGAAAGCUAUUUAGGUAGCGCCUCGUGAAUUCAUCUCCGGGGGUAGAGCACUGUUUCGGCUAGGGGGCCAUCCCGGCUUACCAACCCGAUGCAAACUGCGAAUACCGGAGAAUGUUAUCACGGGAGACACACGGCGGGUGCUAACGUCCGUCGUGAAGAGGGAAACAACCCAGACCGCCAGCUAAGGUCCCAAAGUCAUGGUUAAGUGGGAAACGAUGUGGGAAGGCCCAGACAGCCAGGAUGUUGGCUUAGAAGCAGCCAUCAUUUAAAGAAAGCGUAAUAGCUCACUGGUCGAGUCGGCCUGCGCGGAAGAUGUAACGGGGCUAAACCAUGCACCGAAGCUGCGGCAGCGACGCUGAUGCGUUGUUGGGUAGGGGAGCGUUCUGUAAGCCUGCGAAGGUGGCCUGUGAGGGUUGCUGGAGGUAUCAGAAGUGCGAAUGCUGACAUAAGUAACGAUAAAGCGGGUGAAAAGCCCGCUCGCCGGAAGACCAAGGGUUCCUGUCCAACGUUAAUCGGGGCAGGGUGAGUCGACCCCUAAGGCGAGGCCGAAAGGCGUAGUCGAUGGGAAACGGGUUAAUAUUCCCGUACUUGGUGUUACUGCGAAGGGGGGACGGAGAAGGCUAUGUUGGCCGGGCGACGGUUGUCCCGGUUUAAGCGUGUAGGUGUGUGUUCCAGGUAAAUCCGGUUCACUUUAACACUGAGGCGUGAUGACGAGGCACUACGGUGCUGAAGCAACAAAUGCCCUGCUUCCAGGAAAAGCCUCUAAGCAUCAGGUAACAUCAAAUCGUACCCCAAACCGACACAGGUGGUCAGGUAGAGAAUACCAAGGCGCUUGAGAGAACUCGGGUGAAGGAACUAGGCAAAAUGGUGCCGUAACUUCGGGAGAAGGCACGCUGACACGUAGGUGAAGUGAUUUACUCAUGGAGCUGAAGUCAGUCGAAGAUACCAGCUGGCUGCAACUGUUUAUUAAAAACACAGCACUGUGCAAACACGAAAGUGGACGUAUACGGUGUGACGCCUGCCCGGUGCCGGAAGGUUAAUUGAUGGGGUCAGCGCAAGCGAAGCUCCUGAUCGAAGCCCCGGUAAACGGCGGCCGUAACUAUAACGGUCCUAAGGUAGCGAAAUUCCUUGUCGGGUAAGUUCCGACCUGCACGAAUGGCGUAAUGAUGGCCAGGCUGUCUCCACCCGAGACUCAGUGAAAUUGAACUCGCUGUGAAGAUGCAGUGUACCCGCGGCAAGACGGAAAGACCCCGUGAACCUUUACUAUAGCUUGACACUGAACAUUGAGCCUUGAUGUGUAGGAUAGGUGGGAGGCUUUGAAGUGUGGACGCCAGUCUGCAUGGAGCCGGCCUUGAAAUACCACCCUUUAAUGUUUGAUGUUCUAACGUGGACCCGUGAUCCGGGUUGCGGACAGUGUCUGGUGGGUAGUUUGACUGGGGCGGUCUCCUCCUAAAGAGUAACGGAGGAGCACGAAGGUUGGCUAAUCCUGGUCGGACAUCAGGAGGUUAGUGCAAUGGCAUAAGCCAGCUUGACUGCGAGCGUGACGGCGCGAGCAGGUGCGAAAGCAGGUCAUAGUGAUCCGGUGGUUCUGAAUGGAAGGGCCAUCGCUCAACGGAUAAAAGGUACUCCGGGGAUAACAGGCUGAUACCGCCCAAGAGUUCAUAUCGACGGCGGUGUUUGGCACCUCGAUGUCGGCUCAUCACAUCCUGGGGCUGAAGUAGGUCCCAAGGGUAUGGCUGUUCGCCAUUUAAAGUGGUACGCGAGCUGGGUUUAGAACGUCGUGAGACAGUUCGGUCCCUAUCUGCCGUGGGCGCUGGAGAACUGAGGGGGGCUGCUCCUAGUACGAGAGGACCGGAGUGGACGCAUCACUGGUGUUCGGGUUGUCAUGCCAAUGGCACUGCCCGGUAGCUAAAUGCGGAAGAGAUAAGUGCUGAAAGCAUCUAAGCACGAAACUUGCCCCGAGAUGAGUUCUCCCUGAGACUU